rnacentral:rRNA from 1 species
GAUGAACGCUGGCGGCGUGCCUAAUACAUGCAAGUCGAGCGAACGGACGAGAAGCUUGCUUCUCUGAUGUUAGCGGCGGACGGGUGAGUAACACGUGGAUAACCUACCUAUAAGACUGGGAUAACUUCGGGAAACCGGAGCUAAUACCGGAUAAUAUUUUGAACCGCAUGGUUCAAAAGUGAAAGACGGUCUUGCUGUCACUUAUAGAUGGAUCCGCGCUGCAUUAGCUAGUUGGUAAGGUAACGGCUUACCAAGGCAACGAUGCAUAGCCGACCUGAGAGGGUGAUCGGCCACACUGGAACUGAGACACGGUCCAGACUCCUACGGGAGGCAGCAGUAGGGAAUCUUCCGCAAUGGGCGAAAGCCUGACGGAGCAACGCCGCGUGAGUGAUGAAGGUCUUCGGAUCGUAAAACCCUGUUAUUAGGGAAGAACAUAUGUGUAAGUAACUGUGCACAUCUUGACGGUACCUAAUCAGAAAGCCACGGCCAACUACGU